UACGAAGGGGGCUAGCGUUGCUCGGAAUUACUGGGCGUAAAGCGCACGUAGGCGGUCUUUUAGGUCGGGGGUGAAAUCCUGGAGCUCAACUCCAGAACUGCCUUCGAUACUGGAAGACUCGAGUCCGGGAGAGGUGAGUGGAACUGCGAGUGUAGAGGUGAAAUUCGUAGAUAUUCGCAAGAACACCAGUGGCGAAGGCGGCUCACUGGCCCGGUACUGACGCUGAGGUGCGAAAGCGUGGGGAGCAAACAGG
rnacentral:rRNA from 1 species